ACAGACCCGAAAUAAUAUAGCCCGGCGUAAAACACGACCAAAAUAUAGUCUAACAAUUAGAGAAGAACUCAACCGGGCUGUAAAAAGCCAUAAGCCACAAUAACCAAUAACUCUAACAACCGACAACUUCCACUCGUGAAAGCUAGGACACAAACUAAGAUUAGAUACCUUACUAUGCCCAGCCAUAACACAACAAUAAAAUUACCAAUUGUUCGCCAAAUAACUACGAGUAGUAACUUAAAAUUUAAAAGACUUGACGGUACCUCACACCAACCUAGAGGAGCCUGUUCAAUAACCGAUACUCCACGAUCAACCCAACCCCACCUAGCCCACAGUCUAUAUACCGCCGUCGCCAGCCUACCUUAUGAAAGAAGUAUAGUAAGCGCAAUAGCCACACGCUAAAACGACAGGUCGAGGUGUAACUUAUGGUGAGGACCAGAAUGGGCUACAUUUUCCAUCAGAACAUACGAACAAACUAUGAAACAAGAAACUGAAGGCGGAUUUAGCAGUACAUUGGGAACAAAACACCCAAUAGAAACUUGAAAUGAGGUGCGUACACACCGCCCGUCAUCCCUGUCAAACAUACCAAAAUAUACAUAAACCACAACACACCCACUAAG
rnacentral:rRNA from 1 species